rnacentral:lncRNA from 1 species
CGGGCCGCUGGUCCUCGCUGCUGCCCUUGGGCACGGUGGUGCGCCGACCCUCGGUCAAGCUGGUCCAGCUCGUCGCACAGGCCAUACACGAGAGCCCGCACCGGAUGCUGCGAGUCACGCACGUCUACGCCGCACUGCAGAACAGAUACCCUUACUACAGGCUCCAGGACAAGAAGGGCAUCAGCAGCUGGAAGAGCUCGGUGCGUCAC